rnacentral:rRNA from 1 species
CCCUUAGAUGUUCUGGGCCGCACGCGUGUUACACUGAGUGGAUCAGCGGGUCAGGUUGCGCGAAAGUGUUUCCUAAUCUUGAAAUCCGCUCGUGAUGGGGAUUGACGGUUGCAAUUUUCUGUCAUGAACGAGGAAUACCUUGUAAGCGCGGGUCAUCAUCCCGCGCUGAAUACGUCCCUGCCCUUUGUACACACCGCCCGUCGCUCCUACCGAUUGAGUGGUCCGGUGAGGCUUUGGGAUCUGGAUGGAAAGAGCGUUUCGCUGUUUCUGCCCGGAAAACUCAGUCGAACCUUAUCAUUUAGAGGAAGGAGAAGUCGUAACA